GACGAACGCUGGCGGCGUGCUUAACACAUGCAAGUCGAACGGAAAGGCCCUGCUUUUGUGGGGUGCUCGAGUGGCGAACGGGUGAGUAACACGCGAGUAACCUGCCCUUGACUUUGGGAUAACUUCAGGAAACUGGGGCUAAUACCGGAUAGGAGCUCCUGCUGCAUGGUGGGGGUUGGAAAGUUUCGGCGGUUGGGGAUGGACUCGCGGCUUAUCAGCUUGUUGGUGGGGUAGUGGCUUACCAAGGCUUUGACGGGUAGCCGGCCUGAGAGGGUGACCGGCCACAUUGGGACUGAGAUACGGCCCAGACUCCUACGGGAGGCAGCAGUGGGGAAUAUUGCACAAUGGGCGGAAGCCUGAUGCAGCAACGCCGCGUGCGGGAUGACGGCCUUCGGGUUGUAAACCGCUUUCGCCUGUGACGAAGCGUGAGUGACGGUAAUGGGUAAAGAAGCACCGGCUAACUACGUGCCAGCAGCCGCGGUGAUACGUAGGGUGCGAGCGUUGUCCGGAUUUAUUGGGCGUAAAGGGCUCGUAGGUGGUUGAUCGCGUCGGAAGUGUAAUCUUGGGGCUUAACCCUGAGCGUGCUUUCGAUACGGGUUGACUUGAGGAAGGUAGGGGAGAAUGGAAUUCCUGGUGGAGCGGUGGAAUGCGCAGAUAUCAGGAGGAACACCAGUGGCGAAGGCGGUUCUCUGGGCCUUUCCUGACGCUGAGGAGCGAAAGCGUGGGGAGCGAACAGGCUUAGAUACCCUGGUAGUCCACGCUGUAAACGGUGGGUACUAGGUGUGGGGUCCAUUCCACGGGUUCCGUGCCGUAGCUAACGCUUUAAGUACCCCGCCUGGGGAGUACGGCCGCAAGGCUAAAACUCAAAGGAAUUGACGGGGCCCCGCACAAGCGGCGGAGCAUGCGGAUUAAUUCGAUGCAACGCGUAGAACCUUACCUGGGUUUGACAUGGAUCGGGAGCGCUCAGAGAUGGGUGUGCCUCUUUUGGGGUCGGUUCACAGGUGGUGCAUGGCUGUCGUCAGCUCGUGUCGUGAGAUGUUGGGUUAAGUCCCGCAACGAGCGCAACCCUUGUUCACUGUUGCCAGCACGUUAUGGUGGGGACUCAGUGGAGACCGCCGGGGUCAACUCGGAGGAAGGUGGGGAUGACGUCAAGUCAUCAUGCCCCUUAUGUCCAGGGCUUCACGCAUGCUACAAUGGCUGGUACAGAGAGUGGCGAGCCUGUGAGGGUGAGCGAAUCUCGGAAAGCCGGUCUCAGUUCGGAUUGGGGUCUGCAACUCGACCUCAUGAAGUCGGAGUCGCUAGUAAUCGCAGAUCAGCAACGCUGCGGUGAAUACGUUCCCGGGGCU
rnacentral:rRNA from 1 species